rnacentral:rRNA from 1 species
AUGCACCGAAGCUGCGGCAGCGACACUAUGUGUUGUUGGGUAGGGGAGCGUUCUGUAAGCCUGCGAAGGUGUGCUGUGAGGCAUGCUGGAGGUAUCAGAAGUGCGAAUGCUGACAUAAGUAACGAUAAAGCGGGUGAAAAGCCCGCUCGCCGGAAGACCAAGGGUUCCUGUCCAACGUUAAUCGGGGCAGGGUGAGUCGACCCCUAAGGCGAGGCCGAAAGGCGUAGUCGAUGGGAAACAGGUUAAUAUUCCUGUACUUGGUGUUACUGCGAAGGGGGGACGGAGAAGGCUAUGUUAGCCGGGCGACGGUUGUCCCGGUUUAAGCAUGUAGGCUGAUUGUCCAGGCAAAUCCGGAUAAUCAAGGCUGAGGUGUGAUGACGAGGCACUACGGUGCUGAAGUAACAAAUGCCCUGCUUCCAGGAAAAGCCUCUAAGCAUCAGGUAACAUUAAAUCGUACCCCAAACCGACACAGGUGGUCAGGUAGAGAAUACCAAGGCGCUUGAGAGAACUCGGGUGAAGGAACUAGGCAAAAUGGUGCCGUAACUUCGGGAGAAGGCACGCUGGUGUGUAGGUGAAGUCCCUGCGGAUGGAGCUGAGACCAGUCGAAGAUACCAGCUGGCUGCAACUGUUUAUUAAAAACACAGCACUGUGCAAACACGAAAGUGGACGUAUACGGUGUGACGCCUGCCCGGUGCCGGAAGGUUAAUUGAUGGGGUUAUCCGUAAGGAGAAGCUCUUGAUCGAAGCCCCGGUAAACGGCGGCCGUAACUAUAACGGUCCUAAGGUAGCGAAAUUCCUUGUCGGGUAAGUUCCGACCUGCACGAAUGGCGUAAUGAUGGCCAGGCUGUCUCCACCCGAGACUCAGUGAAAUUGAACUCGCUGUGAAGAUGCAGUGUACCCGCGGCAAGACGGAAAGACCCCGUGAACCUUUACUAUAGCUUGACACUGAACAUUGAGCCUUGAUGUGUAGGAUAGGUGGGAGGCUUUGAAGCGUGGACGCCAGUCUGCGUGGAGCCAACCUUGAAAUACCACCCUUUAAUGUUUGAUGUUCUAACGUUGGCCCCUGACCGGGGUUGCGGACAGUGUCUGGUGGGUAGUUUGACUGGGGCGGUCUCCUCCCAAAGCGUAACGGAGGAGCACGAAGGUUAGCUAAUCCUGGUCGGACAUCAGGAGGUUAGUGCAAUGGCAUAAGCUAGCUUGACUGCGAGCGUGACGGCGCGAGCAGGUGCGAAAGCAGGUCAUAGUGAUCCGGUGGUUCUGAAUGGAAGGGCCAUCGCUCAACGGAUAAAAGGUACUCCGGGGAUAACAGGCUGAUACCGCCCAAGAGUUCAUAUCGACGGCGGUGUUUGGCACCUCGAUGUCGGCUCAUCACAUCCUGGGGCUGAAGUAGGUCCCAAGGGUAUGGCUGUUCGCCAUUUAAAGUGGUACGCGAGCUGGGUUUAGAACGUCGUGAGACAGUUCGGUCCCUAUCUGCCGUGGGCGCUGGAGAAUUGAGGGGGGCUGCUCCUAGUACGAGAGGACCGGAGUGGACGCAUCACUGGUGUUCGGGUUGUCAUGCCAAUGGCACUGCCCGGUAGCUAAAUGCGGAAGAGAUAAGUGCUGAAAGCAUCUAAGCACGAAACUUGCCCCG